UGAAAAUAUCGUUUUAAUCAUGCGCGUUGUCGACAAACACAGAAAGGCUGGAGACUCAGAGGUGGGGAAGUGGUAUUCCGAGGCUGAAAAUGGGGCCACCACAGGAAUGAAGAGACAAGCGUAACCUUUAGUGUAAGGUAGACACAGAAGAAGCAUCAAUUGAAGACACUGACAACAUGAGGAACACAGGCAACCUCAGAACCUUCAUGAGAACUCCGUUACCAUUCUUCCCCUUUGGAAACUUCAAUCAUACCAUCUCUCAGCUAUUCCUUCUUCACAGACACCACUGGCUUGUUAAUGUCAAAACCUACCCCCAAUACCAUUAUGGAGUUCCCUGUGCAAGUAAACUCCUUGAUCCUUACUCUGACUCCUACCCAGGCUCACUAAACCUUUCUGUAUCUGAAAAUAUGUUAGCUCAAACCUGCCUCACCCCAGCGUGCAGAAUCAAACCACAGUGAGUCGUCACUCUGCCCAUCCACCCUGAGCUUAGAAGGAUUUGAUUGCUGUUCUUACUCACUAGUCUUAAACUGCCACACAGCCUUGGCUGCCUGUCAGUUAUUUCUUGUUGAACUGGCAUUUGGUCACCCACUCACCGUGAUGUACCGCAGAUGGCUUGGGUUGUCCCUACUCCUGUCCAGAAGAAUUACACUGCAAUAAACUUUGCUUUAAAGCC